rnacentral:rRNA from 1 species
GACGUAGGGUGCAAGCGUUGUCCGGAAUUAUUGGGCGUAAAGGGCUCGUAGGCGGUCCGUCACGUCGGGAGUGAAAACUCGGGGCUCAACCCCGAGCCUGCUUCCGAUACGGGCGGACUAGAGGUAGGUAGGGGAGAACGGAAUUCCUGGUGUAGCGGUGGAAUGCGCAGAUAUCAGGAGGAACACCGGUGGCGAAGGCGGUUCUCUGGGCCUUACCUGACGCUGAGGAGCGAAAGCGUGGGGAGCGAACAGG